GUCUACCAUGCAGUCGAACGGCAGCACGGACUUCGGUCUGGUGGCGAGUGGCGAACGGGUGAGUAAUGUAUCGGAACGUGCCCAGUAGCGGGGGAUGACUACGCGAAAGCGUAGCUAAUACCGCAUACGCCCUACGGGGGAAAGCAGGGGAUCGCAAGACCUUGCACUAUUGGAGCGGCCGAUAUCGGAUUAGCUAGUUGGUGGGGUAACGGCUCACCAAGGCGACGAUCCGUAGCUGGUUUGAGAGGACGACCAGCCACACUGGGACUGAGACACGGCCCAGACUCCUACGGGAGGCAGCAGUGGGGAAUUUUGGACAAUGGGGGAAACCCUGAUCCAGCCAUCCCGCGUGUGCGAUGAAGGCCUUCGGGUUGUAAAGCACUUUUGGCAGGAAAGAAACGUCGUGGGUUAAUACCCCGCGAAACUGACGGUACCUGCAGAAUAAGCACCGGCUAACUACGUGCCAGCAGCCGCGGUAAUACGUAGGGUGCAAGCGUUAAUCUGGAAUUACUGGGCGUAAAGCGUGCGCAGGCGGUUCGGAAAGAAAGAUGUGAAAUCCCAGAGCUUAACUUUGGAACUGCAUUUUUAACUACCGGGCUAGAGUGUGUCAGAGGGAGGUGGAAUUCCGCGUGUAGCAGUGAAAUGCGUAGAUAUGCGGAGGAACACCGAUGGCGAAGGCAGCCUCCUGGGAUAACACUGACGCUCAUGCACGAAA
rnacentral:rRNA from 1 species